rnacentral:rRNA from 1 species
CGUGUAGGCGGUUUCGUAAGUCGAAUGUGAAAUCUCACGGCUCAACCGUGAAAUUGCGUUCGAAACUACGAGACUUGAGUUAGGGAGAGGUGUGCGGAAUUCCUGGUGUAACGGUGGAAUGCGUAGAUAUCAGGAAGAACACCGAUGGCGAAGGCAGCACACUGGCCUGUAACUGACGCUGAGGCGCGAAAGCGUGGGGAGCAAACA